ACCAUCACUCACCAAGAAAAGAACAAUAACAGGACCUGUUUUGCUAAUCCAGGACUGUUCUCCAGCACUAACUCUAAAUAAUCCCUUCUGCUAGAGUCCACUUUCUGGAACCUGUUGCCUCCGUUUUCAACGUUUCCCAAACUUGGUCCGUUGUGUGAGCUGGCUGAUAAAAGUUCCAGGGAGAGGACAUCUUACUCUUAUUGGAUCAUGCACAGUGCCUGAAGCAUUCUGUUGCAUGUAGAAAUCAGUAAAUUGCAGAUGUAAGAUUCAAAACCAGACUUCACAUCUACCGACUUCAGUGACCCUGAAAUUUGUUCACAGAGAGCAUUUAACAUAACUGUCUUCAUCAUCUCCUUCUCUACAUUAAAAAUUAUGGGCAACAGAAAGAAACUGACGGUCUGCUAUUUGUCUCCAGAGGCCUUACAAACUGGUAGAAGAUGCAUAACAGAAGAGCUUAUGAAGUUAAAGAUGACAGCAUAGCAGCACUGGUGAGAUCCUUUUAGACAUAACAUGGUAGGAAGGACUGUUUGACAAAGUGAAUGCCUGUCUUUCAGAAAAUACAGGGAGGUGUGAUGUACCCAUUAUCACAAGCAGAUGGAAUGCCUAUAGAGUCGGAUCUCAUCUACAUAUCACCUAUUAUAUGUAGUUAUUGAUGGAUAAAUACUUCAACAGCUAAAGGCAGGAAGAGAGCAGUUCACACAGACGUUAUUGGUGAUUCACUCUUGAGUCAUGAAAAGUCAACCUUGAGCCACAGAAAGUCAACCUUGAGCCAUGCAGAGUGGAGAGUCAUACAUGCCAUUCCUGGGACCAUCAAAAAUGGCAGAG
rnacentral:lncRNA from 1 species